rnacentral:sRNA from 1 species
GAAAAAGUUUAUUAUUCUUGUGGUGGUAAGGCGCAUGGGCAGGGUGGUGUAACCAUCCGGCGAAAGCUCCCAUGCGCGAAAGACAGGCUCCCUAAAGGGGGCCUUUUUUAUUAUCAAA